rnacentral:rRNA from 1 species
AACGAACGCUGGCGGCAGGCUUAACACAUGCAAGUCGAGCGCCCCGCAAGGGGAGCGGCAGACGGGUGCGUAACGCGUGGGAACGUACCUUUUGGUUCGGAACAACUCCGGGAAACUGGAGCUAAUACCGGAUAAGCCCUAACGGGGAUAGAUUUAUCGCCGAAAGAUCGGCCCGCGUCUGAUUAGCUAGUUGGUGAGGUAACGGCUCACCAAGGCGACGAUCAGUAGCUGGUCUGAGAGGAUGAUCAGCCACACUGGGACUGAGACACGGCCCAGACUCCUACGGGAGGCAGCAGUGGGGAAUAUUGGACAAUGGGCGCAAGCCUGAUCCAGCCAUGCCGCGUGAGUGAUGAAGGCCUUAGGGUUGUAAAGCUCUUUUGUCCGGGAAGAUAAUGACUGUACCGGAAGAAUAAGCCCCGGCUAACUUCGUG